rnacentral:rRNA from 1 species
ACCCUUUAAUGUUUGAUGUUCUAACGUAGACCCGUGAUCCGGGUUGCGGACAGUGUCUGGUGGGUAGUUUGACUGGGGCGGUCUCCUCCCAAAGAGUAACGGAGGAGCACGAAGGUUAGCUAAUCCUGGUCGGACAUCAGGAGGUUAGUGCAAUGGCAUAAGCUAGCUUGACUGCGAGCGUGACGGCGCGAGCAGGUGCGAAAGCAGGUCAUAGUGAUCCGGUGGUUCUGAAUGGAAGGGCCAUCGCUCAACGGAUAAAAGGUACUCCGGGGAUAACAGGCUGAUACCGCCCAAGAGUUCAUAUCGACGGCGGUGUUUGGCACCUCGAUGUCGGCUCAUCACAUCCUGGGGCUGAAGUAGGUCCCAAGGGUAUGGCUGUUCGCCAUUUAAAGUGGUACGCGAGCUGGGUUUAGAACGUCGUGAGACAGUUCGGUCCCUAUCUGCCGUGGGCGCUGGAGAAUUGAGGGGGGCUGCUCCUAGUACGAGAGGACCGGAGUGGACGCAUCACUGGUGUUCGGGUUGUCAUGCCAAUGGCAUUGCCCGGUAGCUAAAUGCGGAAAAGAUAAGUGCUGAAAGCAUCUAAGCACGAAACUUGCC